rnacentral:tRNA from 1 species
UGCGGGAUAGAGCAGUGGCAGCUCGUCUGGCCCAUAACCAGAAGGUCAUUGGUUCGAGUCCAAUUCCCGCAACCA